ACCCUUUUGUGGUUCAUAAGCACGAUGACUAGGUAUACACACAUGCGUAAGAUGUGCGCCCUCAUAGCUUGGUACAACAUUGGCACAUUAGCCAUUCAACA